AGGAGGAAGAGCAGCUGCGGAAGGAAAAACAGCAGCUGCGGAAGAAAAAAUUACAGCUGCGGAAGAAUGAACUCCUCCUCCUCCAAUGUAAUGUGCGCGGGUAAGCAAUUGGGAAAGCCCUUCGUUUCCUUUCACAUGCAUCCCCAUUUUCUGUCCAGUUCUUGGUAUUCCAUUUGUCCAGUUCUGGAUGCUACUUUAAUGCUGUCUGUCUAGUAAUAGUUGGGUGUCUUCUCUUUGGGAUGACUGGUAUGUUUUUCGGCCUGACACUAGAGUUUGCUCAGUUCUGCUCACAAGUCUGUGCAUUCCUCCCCCUUGUUUGCUUUUCAUAUGUUUACUUGGUCAUUCCGCGAUGCCUUUUCUUUCAAAUUUCGUCGCUGCUAAUCUGGUAGCCCUCUCUGUCGAGUACCCCUUCGCCUCUCAGAUCUGUGUUGCGAAAUCCCUGACCAUAACCACACAUGGAAGAGAUGACUAACCGAGUUCUCCUCUCCCGCAGCAGCCUCUCUUUCACCCGGAGCAGCAGCAACUCUUAAUCCCGGAGCGGCUGCUUUGCUUUCCCUGUCUGGUCAUGGUUAAGGAUUUUUGCUUCCUGAAUCUGUUUCUUUCUUUCUGUGUGGAUAUCUGGUAAUCUCGGUCAUUCUCACCCCUGUUUGCCCUUUGGCUGUGUUUAAUUCUGUGGCCAUUCCUCCAUAAACUUCGUUGUGCCUCUCACAGCACCAGCGCCACCACCAGCGGGACUUCGUCCAGCCGAGAUUGACGUGCCUGGUAUGAAUGAUGUCUAGGGGACUGAAAGCCGUAAUUUUUUGUGUCAGACAAGAUCGCCUGGGCCAAGAAGCUGAACGAGAAUCUGACCGGACACUGACUGGACAAGCCAUGCGACUUUUCGGGAGCUCCAUACUCCCGCUUUCUCUGGAAUGGAGUAAAACAUACAUGUACAUGGGUCGCUCACUCUUACGGAGAUAAAAAGUUUCGUAUUGACCUUGAGACACGGCACUGACAACCUUCCUGGAACUCUGGGCUCUGGGAAGACCACUGCUCUUGCUACUGUGGCUGGAUAUCUUCUGCAACUUUGGAAGAACACCUCCAAGAAGGUCGUCUUUAUCAAUGACGAAUGUUUCAUUGACAA